CUACAGUAUAGCCCCAUCAAGCCCCACCCUACCAUCGCCACUGCUGUCAUACUAUGAAUGAGAACAAUUCAGACAGAAUCCUGACUGUUUAAAUUUAGCCCUCUAAAUUGGGCAGAACAGUUUUUCUCUGCACUUCAUCCAGAGAAUAAUUCACCAGGAAGAAAGGAGAUAGACCAGAGACAGAGCAGACUCUGACAGAGGUUAGAGGUUAAUGCAUAAGCAAGGUCCUUCUUUAAGAUGUGCCUGUUGAAUAAUUCAAAAGAGCUUUUGGCUACAGUCCAUUUACAAGGAUUGAGGUUUCAAUCUAUAAACAGGGGCAUUUCAAAAUGAACAAAUUCCACCAAGUGCAAGAUUUCUAAAUCAGUAGAAAUGAUCAGAAAUUCAAGCUCAAAAUAGGUACUGUAUGUGACGAGUGGGGUGGGGCCGAGAGCCGUGGGAACAGAGCGAGGCCGGUGGAGUGAUUGGGAAAUGAGCGACCAGUCUCGAGUCCCACGGAGGAGAUUGGGAGGAUACAAAAGAGGAGCGACGACAGUGAAGGAUAAGAGAGGACCAGGCCUGGGUUUUAUUUUGUGGUUUGGUUUUUGUUUGUGCGCGGCAGUCGACCGUGAGGGGCUGUCGCACUGUUUUAUCUUUAUUUGGUUAUUAAAGUUUUAUUUGAAUGUCCGCCGGUUCCCGCCUCCUUCUUCCCGUAAUUAUGGAGUUUUUAUAUGUUACACUGUAAUAAUAAAGUUCUACAGUAUUUGGUUAGUAUAUGUUAUUUCUUCACUGACUACAACUAUUUUAACACAUUAUACUCAAUACCUUUUUUAACAAAUGUAACACUAGUGUCCCAGUGUUUUUUUUUUUUGCUUGUACAGCCUAUUUUUGCAUGUAUGUAAAUAUAGGUUGUGAUUUCCUCUGUUAAAUCACUGUGCAAUAAAACACUGUCUACAUAAAACAACUUUAAAUAUGACAAUGCGUGUAUUGUCUUUGAUUGAAAUGGAAGAAAAAUAAAAUAAAAAAGAGAGCUCUUUAAUAUUUCAGAUUUAGAUGAGAUUCUCUUGCUAAGGAGAAAUAUCUGAGCACAGUGUGUGAUGUUGUUGAGAUCUAUUGUAAAGCUUUAAAGAAGACCAUUGUGGGAGUGUUAGAGUUUUUGUCUCAGGAGACAAGUUUGAGAAACAGGAGACUCAAGCAAAAGUUUCCAUUCAAUCUUAAAGUGUUAGUUCACCCAAAUAUGAUAAUUCUGUCAUUAAUUACUCACCCUCAUGUCGUUUCAAACCUGUAAGACCUUCAUUCAUCUUCGGAACACAAAUUAAGAUUUUUUUCUAUAGAAUCUGGAGCUGUCAGUGGUUUAUCCGCAAUUAUAUGAAGCUACGAGAAUACAUUUUGUGCACAAAAAAAAAAAAAAAAGAAAAAAAGACUUUAUUCAACAAUAUGUCUCAUCCGCAUUACCCUGGUGCCAUUUUGGAGAAUAUCUCAGCUGCAUAACACCGAUACGCUGUUUCUGUUCAGACUAAAUCACAACAAUGUAGGAAAAAGUUCCGGCAUGACGCAGCUGAAAUAUUCUCCAAAAUGGCACCAGGGUGAUGCGGAGGAUACGAAUUGUUGAAUAAAGUCAUUAUUUUUUUUUUUUCUUUUGUGAACAAAAAUAUUCUCGUAGCUUCGUAUAAUUGCGGAUGAACCACUGAUGUCACAUGGAUUAAUUCACAAAUCUCCUUGCUACGUUUCUGGAUUUGGGAACAUUUCAGUUGCACUGCUGUCUAUGCAGGGUCAGACAGCUCCAGAUUCCAUCGGAAAAAAAAAUGAUAACCCCCUAGAUUCAAUAUGAAACUCUUAGUAAAACAAAAUAGUGGUCAUAAUCAUGCUGAAGCUGUGUAGUUGUAAAAGUUUUUAAUAUAUGCUGACUUGCAAAUAUGAUCUGCUCCAUGCGAUCGCGUCUCUGGACUGGAGCCAAAGUCCGGAUCAGACUGUGUGUGCUGCCGCAGUUCAUGUGAAACAACGUGAAACCAGACCUCAUUUGCACCAAUUGAAAGCUUAUUUACACUGUCUGAAUCAUUUCCUAUCGCCUACAUUGUGCACUACGAGUCAUUCACUGUACAGGAAAUACUAUACUGUGAACAAGUGACCGAUCUCAGCCAAGGCUUCAGUUCCGUGCAGGGGGCGGGCGCUUCAGAUUCUAGAGAGCAUUUGAUUGGUCAGAAGAUUUAAUGAGAAGAUGAAGUACGAUGUGACGUCAAAAAAAAAAAAAAAAAAAUUUCAGAAAAUUUAAAAAAAGUUGAGCCGUUUUGGCGUAAGUGACGAACUGCAAGCUUCAAAUGCUUAUAUCUUCUAAAUGCGAAUUUUGUCACUGUUUUGUAGCACACUACAUUAUAAGUAACCUUAAGAUAAUAUUGAUACUAACACCCAAAAAACUUUCAUUUUGAUUUCAUGGGGACUUUAUUGUUAUCCGAUUCAAUGAAAAAAAAUAUAUAUAUAUACACAUGACAAACUAAAAUAUUUUGUUAAUAAUAUAUAUAUAUAUAGUUUGAAUAAACAUUGCAACCAAUGCUUGGGACGACCCACUUAAAUGAGCAAAAAUGCUUUACUUAUCUUUAAAUACUAAUUUCUAAACAUUAAACAUUGACUGUCAGUCUUUAUUCACCUGUUUCUCGUUGUUUCUCAUUAAAAUUCAUUAACGUAAAUAGUGUAAAUUACAUCGCUAAUGUCAUAGAAUAGCACAAACGCAGUGUUACAACAUGCCGCAUCUGCGCAACUGGAAUUUAAAACUCGUUAGUGUCUUCUGCUAGUUAUCAAAGCAUUAAAAAACAAUCUGAAGUGAUAAAUAACAGAUUGGAGAUUAAAA
ensembl:lncRNA